UCGAUAUUGUUGUGUCUCAGGGAAUAGGGAGGUCUAAGAAGAGGGAGAGACUGGAAACCGCUAGUUGGUGGAACAGUUAGAAUAUACACAAGAUUUAUCAAUUAAGUUCACUGUCUUAUACGGGCAUGGUUUGCAGUACCCUAAAACAAUUACAGUAGUAACAAAGAUCACUGAUCACAGACCACCAUGACAGAUACAAGAAUAAAAACAUUUGAAAUACUCUAAGAGUUACCAAAAUGUGACACUUACACAAAGUGAGCCCAUGCUGGGAAAAUGCCCCGAUAGACUUGCUCUAUGCAGGGUGGCCACAAGCCCUCAAUUUGUAGAAAAGGCAGUAUCUUUGAAGCACAAUGAAGCAGAAUGCAAUAAAAUGAGGUAUACUUGUAUUCUAAUUUUCUGCCAUGAAAAACUGUCUAGAGGGCAGUCUCCAACCCUAGGGACUAGAUUGCUUUUGUUUUCAUGCAUGCCCUAAGGUCACAGAGAUGGGGGAUAACAGUAUGAUGGGAGAUUCUGGUAGGGACUCAAACCUGAUGGUGUUCAGUAGUUGCAGGUAGACUGCUGCUAAAAGUUGGACUUUCAAUUUAGAAUAAAAUAAUGGGUCAAUGUAUAUUAUGUACAUUUUCUCCAUUUCCUGAGUUUAGCUUUCAACAGUUAAGAUACUUGCAACAGCAGAAGUAACACUACAUAGUGUUACAGUGUACAAAUCCCUUGUCAUUUUUAUUUUAAAAUAUAUUUAUUACCUCAGUCUCUGGCUAUAUUCACAUAGCGCAAGGGCACAAGAUCAUCCCUUCUGUUUCUCUCUCUAAAGCUGAGUAGGUUCUGAGUGAACUGACAGGCUUGUUUUUUUUUUGCCCAGAAUGCUAACCAGUCCUGACAUGGAGGGCAAGUAAAUUUAAAAAUCUUAAAUUAGAAAUAAAGAAUGAUCUUAGGAAAUUAUAGGGUCAUUCUGGUCCAGCAGUGUUUUAUAACUGGCUUCCUUCUCUUACUAGUCACGGAAAUUAUUAGAGAGUGUUGCAUUUUCCUAAUACGGCCCUCCUCAGCACAUGACAUUUAAGUAAACAACUCUGUGUAAGAGGCAGUUAUAAUAGUUUAUAUAAUAUAAACUAUCUGAUACACAUAUCAUCUGAAAGCCUGUAUUUCUAACAAGUUGACUAUGUGGAAGAAUAGACUAGUUCGCAGGCCAGAAGAUUAUACCGUAGAUUACACUGGUAAAGAGCAGAAAUUGUUGACGCUUUAGUACCUAGCUGUCUUAAAGCAUUUUUAAACAUUUGCACAUUACUAAUAAAAAGUUUGAAGUUAACAAGAAAUUUGACAUAAAACUGAGUAAGCUGUAAAUAUUUCAUAUAGAAGAUGUCUGACACCUGAUAAAUGUUACUUACCAAAUAGAACUGAAAGUGAGAUGAUCAGAAAAAGAUUGUCCUUGCCUCAAGCAAGCUUCUGAAGCCUAGGCAAGUUAGCUAGGUCCUUAAUAUGGGAUUCUGGCAUCCUGAUUUUAAUGUGCUCUGAAAACAAAGUGUGUGACUCAUGAAAUAAAGGACACUAAACCCCAAAUUUGAAAUUAUGAAAACUUUAGGCCAAAGAGGUAAAAUAAAAACAGCUGUUGGGAGUGAAAAAUGGCUGUAGGAAUUUAGUUACAAGUACUUCACAAAAACAUUUUCAUCACAUUUACAUAAUAUAGCAUUACAAUACAAAGCUGGCUGCUGUCCUGACCAAGCAAGUUCUCUUAUCAUCUAACAAAAAUAAUUUAGAUACAUUUCUUUGCAUGGAAUUGUCAUAUUUUUCCAUUUUUGGUACAAAACAUAGAAAAAAACAUUGGCACAUUAUGUAGUGAUAAGUCAUUUUUUCCCCAUGUACAAGUUCCAAGUAUUCUGCAUUCCAAUUUGUAUUGGAAAAAAGUAAUUACUGAUUCAAUUAAUUCAGUCUCUGUUUGUUUAUACCUUUUAAAAAUGCAGCAUGAAGUACAGAGAAAGAAAAAUGAAGUUUGUUUACGGAGUCUAAUAUUUAUAAUACAUAGGAAGGAUCAGCUGGUAAAAGAGAAAGGAAAAUCUCGAGUCUGACUUUAUGUAGAUCACAGGGAGUUGUGAAAAGAGCAGUAUAAAAAUAUGCACUUGUGCUUUAGAAGCUUUUAGCAUACAAUUAAUAGCUUAAAAUAGUAUUUACUGCCUCCCCAUAUGCCUAUUUUCUGAUAUAUUUACACCACACAAUUUUAACAUUGUUAAAGCUAAUGGCAUGAUUUCAAAUAUAGACUGGUUAAAAAUAUCUGAACCUUGAAACUUCCCCUAUCCCCUCCCAAAAUAUUACGUAUAGAUGGUGCAUGGCACAACAUACUGCAUGGGCUUACACCCAGAAAAUUUGGAUUUUAAUAAAAAUUUUAAACAUGU
rnacentral:lncRNA from 1 species